UACAGAGGGGGCAAGCGUUAUUCGGAAUUAUUGGGCGUAAAGGGCGCGUAGGCGGCCUGGCAAGUGGAAGGUGAAAUCCCUCGGCUUAACCGAGGAACUGCCCUCCAAACUGCUUGGCUUGAGUCCGGGAGAGGUGAGUGGAAUUCCCAGUGUAGCGGUGAAAUGCGUAGAUAUUGGGAGGAACACCAGUGGCGAAGGCGGCUGCCUGGCCUGUAACUGACGCUGAGACGCGAAAGCGUGGGGAGCGAACCGG
rnacentral:rRNA from 1 species